CAGAAGUUCACAAAGCUUAAGAACAUCUUCCUCAUUCAGGCUGAAGCUGCAGUAUGACUCCAUGGGGUUCGUCGCUUCCAAGUCCCGGAGAGAAAAUCCUUAACAAGUGGCGCCACGAACAGGGGCUUGAAAGGAAGGCUGAACAAAGCGACUAGCCCUGCAGAAAGAGGAUUCAGAUGUCUCUACUCAAGACUCUGUACCUCCCACGAUGGAGUCCAACUAGCAGCUGCCAUGCUUAAAUUAAAAACAAAAGGAGGAUAGUUGGGAAGCCCAGUACAAAAUAGCCGGUUGGAGGAAAUCCUUGGGAAAAUGGCGAAGGGCCAGAAAUACCCCAGCUUGGUGUGCUUGGGCAGAAAAACAUCUCCUGCCUUUGGUUAUGCCUGGCGCCAAGAUUUAAUAAUAAAUAUUAAGGAUGUUGCUUGAGAAAACGGGUUAUGGGAUAAGUACAUGGGUCACUUAGAGCACACUGUCCUUGAAAUAUUUUUACUGACUAGGUGUUAACCCCAUAUGCACUCUGCUGGCUGUAUACUCUAAGCUCUUCGUUCCUACUUCUAUAAAAAAGGCUUGACUGCAGAAAUAAACUUGUCAGUCCUUGCAA
ensembl:lncRNA